UAAAUACUCCAUCCGUUCCGAAUUACUUAUCACGCAAAUGGAUAAAAAUGAAUGUAUUUACAACUAAAAUACAUCUAGAUACAUUCAUUUUUACGAUAAGUAAUUCUGGACGGAGGGAGUAUAUU
rfam:Triticum aestivum genome assembly, contig: Triticum_aestivum_CS42_TGACv1_scaffold_404565_5BL